UGAGGGGGGAAAAAAAAAAAAAAAGUCAGGGAAAGGAAAAGGGAGAAAGAGACAAGCUGGAGUAAGAAAGUAGAGAAGAGGACAGAAAGUAGAAGGAGCGUCUGUGAUCUGUACAGGACUUUCAGCAUGGAAAAGAAACUCUGAAAGACUCUGAACUGGUGGUGAAGUGCGAAAUUACUGUUCUCUCAGACUCUUCUUCUUCAGAUCCUCUUCCUGUGGGACUGGUUCACGAACAAAACGCACCAGAGCACGACUGCAGUGAGAGCGGAUCAGCUGC